UACAGAGACUGCAAGCGUUAUUCGGAUUCACUGGGCGUAAAGGGUGCGCAGGCGGCCAAGUGUGUGAGGCGUGAAAGCCCGGGGCUUAACCCCGGAAUUGCACCUCAAACUACAUGGCUAGAGCAUUGGAGAGGGUAGCGGUAUUCACGGUGUAGCAGUGAAAUGCGUAGAUAUCGUGAGGAACACCAGAGGCGAAGGCGGCUACCUGGACAAUUGCUGACGCUCAGGCACGAAAGCGUGGGGAGCAAAAGGG
rnacentral:rRNA from 1 species